rnacentral:lncRNA from 1 species
UGAUAAGGAUUUAAACUUGUUAACUACUUCUAAUACUCUUUCUUUUACUAAAUUAUCUAUUAAUCACAUUAACACUUGUACUAAUCUCAAUAUAACUGAACGUACCUCUACAUCUUACUCUGUUAAUGAUAACAAAUUUGCUAAGCUAUUUCAAAAGUACUAAUGAUAACCGCUCCUUAAUUAGACAACCGUCAAACCCUACUUCACCUCCUCCCACACCCACUAAAGUAUCACUACAACCAAUUAAUCACACGGCCUAAUUAGAAAAUUGUCACACAAUAACACCUAUCAUAAUACAUGCAAAGAGCCAAGUUGCAAGUUCCCACAUGCAAGAAAUACCACAUUUCUCAAACAUUACUACUAACUCAGACACAACACAUAACCUACAACAAAACACACCCAAUACAAACAAAAGUGAAUCAAGC